rnacentral:lncRNA from 1 species
UCAUAGAGGAAAGGGCUGUGAUAUUUUGCAGCAUGUUGGUUCAGGACCUUGGAGAGUGGCAUAAGCCUAUGUGUUCUCUGUCCCUUUCACUGAGUUCUCUGGCCAACAGUGGGGGUGCUUCUAAAGAUUCUAUGUCAGGCAUCAUAAUAAGAUCCCAAUAACAGAGGUCAGUGGUGCAAGAGUUGCCCUGUUUUACCAUAGGGGAGGGAGGUUACUGAGGCAAUAUGGGAAACGAGGAAUAAGUUACCAGGGGCCUGUGGAAACUAGUGGCACCAAAGUGGACAGACUGAGACCGCAGAUCAGACUGGCAUCAAGAUAACAGCUGGGAAGUGACUGUGGGUUAAAUAUUCAUGGAUAACUUCCAGGCACUGGCUUACGCAGCUGUAAAAGAGACAUGUGCUGCCUCUCUCCAGGUAUCCAGAAAAGGCCCUCGUUCCUAAGACAACAAUUCAAGGUCAAGAGAACAAAAAAGAAAUUGAAAAAGAUAUCCAACAUCCUCUCAUGCUGGAAGCUUCAAUAUCUGCUGCAAUCUUCACACUUUCCAGGGAUGUAACCAAAGCAAGUUCUAACAUCGAUUGAGAGUUUACUAUGAACCAGGCACUGUGCCAAGGACUCUACAAUACUAUUUGGCUGAAUCCUCAUAAUAACUCAGAAAAGCAUACAUUAUUAUGAAGUCGUGAGAAUAAAAUGACAGAAUGUAAGAAAGCUUAGACCAAGGAUUUAGACCAAGGUCACAGAGAAGGCAAGAGACAGAAUCAAGUUUGAAACUUUUGUCUCUGAAGUGCCAAAGCCCAUCUUCCACCCACUAAAUGAAAUCAAUGAUUCUAUGAGCUUUCCCAGAACCCACUCAAGACUGAGGCAGUUUGGGGAUGCCAGGAUUCACCAGGUAAACUGAGGGCUUCUGGGCAGUGCCUCAGGGAGCACUACAGGGAGGAAGGCAGCGGCUUUUUCAGCAGAAGCACAGCAAGCCCAAAGCUCAGAGCUGGUUCCUCAGUCCAUAACCUUCGCAACCCCUCCCUGCUGGUGGGGCUGCACCUUCCCCUUGUUCCCUCCCAUUGUCUUUUCAUAUGACCCCCUCCCCUUACUGUCAGUAGCCCUUCAGUAACUCCUCACUGAAGGUGAUUCCCACUGUCCUGGUAGUCUGUCUUUAUUCAGGGAGUUUCGUGAGCAGGGAGUGGUGAGGAGUCACUUGUCACCUGCCUCUAGCUAUCCCCUAAGCUCCCACCUCAUUCCAUACCUGGCCUAGGUUUGAGGGAAGAGGCAUCUUCUUGGAUAUGAGCAAGUACUGGGAAGAUCUAGAGCUGCAGGCCUGGGUAGAAGUGAAGGGGGGAGAGAAAAGAAGGAAGAAGGGAGCUAGUCGUCCAGAGACCAGCAGCAGUGAUGUGACUGCAGACUCAAAACACAGAGCUCUCUAAGCCACCCUCCUCUGACUUCAUUUGGAGACCACACCAGCCCCUUUGACACCUUGAGGUGCACCUGCAUCCCUGUGCAGUCCACUGACAAAAUUCAAGGACAAGGCUGGACACACAGAGGCAUCUCAGAGGUCAAGGGUGGAGGGGUCCCUGGGUCUCCCAGUAGAUUAAAAAUAAAAGAAACAAAUGCCUAAACAGGGCUGCAAAAGGUAACAUGCAUUGCAAAUGUUUACAUGAAAUAAAUUAACACUUGUAGCACUACAAAAAUACAAUGACUACAUGUGUGCCAGCCCCAAGAGAUUAACAGGAUUCAUUAAAAAUAUUAAUUCUUAGUGCACUAUAUGUUUUAUAGCCUUGUCAAAUGACACAUUUUAAAUUUCUAAAACUCUUUAUAAACUUUCCAAUACUGCCAGUGAAUGAAUGUGACUACUGAUAUAAUCCAUUUAAAGUCAACGGCUGCACACUAAACCUGAGGCCCCUCCAGACUUCCAGGUGCACCUGAGGGGUUAAUGAGAAGGAAUGGAAAGGAGCGUUUUCAGGAGGAAUACUGUGAGUCCCUGGGCGUAUACUUCGGCAAUCAUGGAGACUAGUCUUUGGUCUGAACAUCCAGGGAGCAGUGAUUCAGCAUCCUUAAGUGAUUUCUAAAGAAGUACAUUAAACAAUGCUUUUUGGGCUUAUUGAAGACCCCCAGGGCAACCUCAGAAAUCAGUGGAGGAGAUAGCACAACAGAAAAACAGGACUUCUGGUCAGCAGAAACAAUCAUUUUUGUUAAUAUUAACCCACAGAGAGAGAGGUCUGUAGAAAAUCAGUUUACAACAGGAUGAGCUUUUCCUCAGUUCAAAUCUAUACACAUUGAUUGAACUCAGGAACUUGAUCUAGAAGGUACUUUCAUUCCCCCUCUUUACUCAGUAAAGGUUACAUACACUACAAGGCUGGAAUUAAGUAAUUCUUCUACUAAGAGUCCAGUCACUUUUUCUGUUCAUCAAACAGAAAGUAUAAAUGAAAUAUUCUUCUGUGAUGGGGAUGGAUGGAAGGGAUUUGGUCCAAGCAGGUGUAAAGAAAGGUCCCUGCUCACAGGGAGCCAGGAAGCAUUAUCCAAUGAAGAAGAAAAUUCUAACACAUUAGAGGCUAACCUGGAGCACUGACUCCCAAAUACAAUGGGAUACUUAAAAGAGAGGUCAUCCACAUUUCAGGGCUACAAUGCUCAGAGGAGUAGGAGCAAAUUAUCCAAAGUACUGUGCAGGGACAGUAGUGAUUGCCUCCUUCCACAAUUAUUGGGGAGAAUAUUGGGAGAAAUGCACCCCUUCUCACAUCCCUAUCCAGAGAGUGUAGCUGCC